rnacentral:rRNA from 1 species
GACGAACGCUGGCGGCGUGCUUAACACAUGCAAGUCGAACGGAAAGGCCCUGCUUUUGUGGGGUGCUCGAGUGGCGAACGGGUGAGUAACACGUGAGUAACCUGCCCUUGACUUUGGGAUAACUUCAGGAAACUGGGGCUAAUACCGGAUAGGAGCUCCUGCUGCAUGGUGGGGGUUGGAAAGUUUCGGCGGUUGGGGAUGGACUCGCGGCUUAUCAGCUUGUUGGUGGGGUAGUGGCUUACCAAGGCUUUGACGGGUAGCCGGCCUGAGAGGGUGACCGGCCACAUUGGUACUGAGAUACGGCCCAGACUCCUACGGGAGGCAGCAGUGGGGAAUAUUGCACAAUGGGCGGAAGCCUGAUGCAGCAACGCCGCGUGCGGGAUGACGGCCUUCGGGUUGUAAACCGCUUUCGCCUGUGACGCAGCGUGAGUGACGGUAAUGUGUAAAGAAGCACCGGCUAACUACGUG